UUUGUCAGUCAAUUAAUGAUGGAGGAAGGUGCUGGAUUGACAGCCCUGGAGAUCAGAGGCCAGAGCACAGGGAAGCUCUGGGCAGCAACAAUACAAGCUUCUCCCUUACAGCCCCACCAACGUGUCCGGAGGGAUCCCUCCUCGGAGUGACAGCAGAGGAAGUCCCAGAAGAUUCGCCCAACCAGUGCAUUCAUCCAAGCCAUGGACAGUUCACUGCUGCCAUUCAUUUCCCUGAGGAACUUAAAAAAGAGUGUGCGUAACAGAGAAAUAAGAAUAUCUGAAAAUGGGCCACGUAUACGCUACAGAAUGAAUGAGACCAACAAAUGCUGACGCGUAAUCUGAAAGUCUCAGAGAAGAAAAUACUAUGAGACAAUGGAAUGGGAUCCCAAGGAAACCUGGAGUCAAUAAGGAAAAGCUAACAGAAUCCACGCAUCUCAUCAAAGGACCACACCACUCUCAUGGGUUGGAGUAAAUGGGAAAAGAGAGUGAUAGAUCAACAGAGACUGUCCUGAAGUCAAUGAACCUGAAGGCUCUGCCUUAUUUUUCAGUGUGUCAAAAAUAUCCUUCCAAGAAUGCAGGCUGUGAUGGAGUAAUGGGUAACAUGUAAA